rnacentral:rRNA from 1 species
CCUACGGGGGGCAGCAGUGGGGAAUAUUGGACAAUGGGGGGAACCCUGAUCCAGCCAUGCCGCGUGUGUGAAGAAGGCCCUCGGGUUGUAAAGCACUUUCAGUGAGGAAGAACGCCUGGUGGUUAAUACCCAUCAGGAAAGACAUCACUCACAGAAGAAGCACCGGCUAACUCCGUGCCAGCAGCCGCGGUAAUACGGAGGGUGCGAGCGUUAAUCGGAAUUACUGGGCGUAAAGCGCGCGUAGGUGGCUUGAUAAGCCGGUUGUGAAAGCCCCGGGCUCAACCUGGGAACGGCAUCCGGAACUGUCAAGCUAGAGUGCAGGAGAGGAAGGUAGAAUUCCCGGUGUAGCGGUGAAAUGCGUAGAGAUCGGGAGGAAUACCAGUGGCGAAGGCGGCCUUCUGGACUGACGCUGACACUGAGGUGCGAAAGCGUGGGUAGCAAACAGGAUUAGAUACCCUAGUAGUC